CCUCUGUAGGCUGGCUGGCCCCCAGGCUGGGCUGGACAUAUAUCUCUUCUAAAGGCUCAUCCUCAAACAUGAUUAGGAGC
rnacentral:pre_miRNA from 1 species